CCAUAUAAGGGUUGAACAAAUUACUUUUUUUUAAAAAAAGUGCUUUUUGGAAAAAUCCAUGGGAAUAAUCCUUGACAAAAAUGAACCAAAAUACAGAAGUUUAUUCUGCACUAUCAGUUUCUGUUACGCCAAGUGACAUCAUUGAGGAGAGAAUCUUUAUGUAAAUUCAAGAAGUUUUAGUAUAUGUCUUAUUUUCAAAUGUCUGAAGGAUCAUUGUACAACACAAACAAUGAAUAACAGUCAAUGAAUUAAGAAACGAAAACCACCCAGAAACCACUUGACUGAGUUAUCAUGUGAUUGAUUGGAAAGUGCUCAAAUGUUUACACGUAUGUGUAAAAGAGAUGCGUCCUUUGUGCACCAUUUACAAAUUAAAAAGAAAACACAAUUUCUGAAGUUUAUAACAAGCAGUUUGCUACACUUUAGGCAGACUUUCUGUUAUUUUGAUGAACUCUCAUAUUAUUUAGUAAACACAUCCUCUGAGCCAAGAAAGGUGAGAAAUAUGCCUCAUUGAUUGUCUAUAUUCUAAUUAAUCAUUGUUGUGUGAUAUAAUGCUAUUGGCAUAACGAUACAUCUGGUGCUAUUUAUCUUCUUGAUCUUCUUGUAGGUAUCAGAUUUCACUGGAAUGACUUGAGUAAGCUUUCACUCAAACUAAGAUUGGGGAUUAGCAACUAUUGGUAUUAUGAAGUAUCUCAGGACAGUGAUGGUACUGAUGUUUUAUCUCUGCUGCAAAGUGCAGGAUCUCAGGAGUUCAUCAUAGAAUAAUGGAAUGGCCUGAGCUGAAAAGGACCACAAUGAUCAUCCAGGUUCAAACCCCAUGCUAUGUACAGGGUUGCCAACCACCAGACCAGACUGUCCAGAGCCACAUCCAGCCUGGCCUUGAAUGCCUCCAGGGAUGGGGCAUCCACAACCUCCUUGGGCAACCUGUUCUGGUGUGUCACCACCCUCUGUCUAAAAAACUUCCUGCUAAUAUCUCACCUAAACCUCCCCUGUCUCAGUUUAAAACCAUUCCCCCUUGUCUUAUCACUGUCAACCCAUUUAGACAGUUGUUUCUCCUCCAGUUUAUAUGCUCCCUUCAAGUACUGGAAGGAGGCGUCUGAGCUUAUCUUGGUUUAUUCUGAAUUGAGGUUCUUUCUCUGAACUGUGUUUUGGUUUAGUUUAGUUUAUAAUGAUAGUAAGAACAAUCAAGAUUAGAAAACCAAGCACAACCUCAUAAGAAAGAGGUAAUACAGAUGAAAGUCUUUGUAUAACAUUUUUAACUGUACUAUUAAUUAAACUUUCCUGUAAUUUUGUAUUUAAUUAAGUAAUUAGUAUUAGAUAGACUGUUAAGACUUUAAUUGUACUAACACUAAAUUCUUUGUUCGAUAUAUAUGGUGUACACUGUUUUGCCCUUAACAAGAAUUUUAGUAUAACAGGAUACUAAUGAGCUUGAAUAAUUAGGUAUCAGCAAAGGGAAAACAUUUGCAACUUUCUAUCUCUACUUUCACCAUGUAAAUAAUAAUUAAAAGAGCAUCCUCAUCAAAAAAAUAAUUAGAGUGUAUGAAGUACAUUGGCAAAUUCUGU
ensembl:lncRNA